CCGCAGAUUGGGAGGCUCAGACGAACACCCUGUCCGUCAGGCCGACAAUCUGCUUCUGGAGGCGGUCGGGGGGCAGCGGCUUCUCGUUAGGACGCCAUCCGGCGCCCGGACAGAGAAGCUGGGGGGCUCCAGGCGCCUGAGUAUCGGCCCACCCCUCCAUUUCUGUGAAGUCGGAGAAGGCCUUCACUUCUGUGUCGAGGGGUGCCCACCCGCAGCAGUGAAGAAAUGCUGGACGGGUGGAAACAGGGGACACUGGGUGGCACGCCGGGAGGAAGACUGGGUGGGAAAGCACCCGCCCUGCAUGUCAUCCGACAUGAUCUCAACGAACAAAUCGUCUAUCCGGCGUGGCUUCUCUCUCGGGACGACCGCGGCGGUCGAAGCCCUGGAGCAGGAGAACCCCGCCACGGAGUCCGCAAAGACGUCCUCCGUCGAGAGGUCGUCGUCCACCUCGGUUUUUUCCUCGCCGUCGUCGUCCGGAUCGUUGAUGGCCUCGGAGAGCACCGCCGACGGGGAAAGUGAAAGGGGCCGGGAGAGGAGCCCCUCUUCAGGCACCGCGCGGCCGGCGGCGCAGGGACGGGGGUAGACACGGCAGCCGCCGCGGGUUCCGCGCCGAGGCAUCGGAAACUCGCCAGGUGCUCUUCACCAGGCAACAGAGAAGCGGGACAGGAGGAACAGUGAGGCCCAGCUCUAAUGGAAGCGCUUUUCAAUGGUCCUGAAAAGGGCUGUUUUUCUGUUGCCUCACCCAAGCCCAUAAGGUUUAUCCUAGAUGGCGUAGCCUACAUGAAAUAGAACUGGUAAAGCAAAACAUACAGGUUGCAUGUCCAUGACCAUAACGGGUAGCCCACAAGGCAACCAUUCACACAGCUAUUAGCGCUACGGCUAGCUAGCGAGUCAACUGUAGCUACCCAAGAGCUAACUGUUGCAUACUAACUUUACGGCUAGCUAGCUAGCAAACUAACUGGGACAUUAAUACAGGUGAAACAUUCAACCAGAAGGCCGCUCAACAUUAAAUACUAUAUUAAAAGAUGCGGCCGAUAAAAGCUUUCAGUCGGCUAACGAUUAGCGAUUGUUAAAGCAGUUCAGUCUUUCAGACCAGCCAAUAAAUGCUGAUUUAAAUAGCCAGAAUAUCCAGAAUGUUUCCCCAUUAAUGAACCAACAGCUGGGUCAAAAUGGGAGCGUGUCUAUGUUCCCCGGUCUGUUACUUUUUCCACCAUUACUGCCAAAUUCCGGCCGAGAUAACUACCCUUGCAUGUCUUUACCUUUUGUGGAAGAGGGAGAGACGUCGGAGAACCCGACGCAGUCUAUUCAUACGCCGGUAAACAAACCCCGAUAAGCCCAAUCCCUACAAGAGCUCACAAGCUACGGCCAUCCGGAGGAGCACAGAGCUUUUGGCCGUGAUAUUAUUAUACAAUUAUAUUAUAUUAUAUAAAGAGCUCCGGGAGUCGCAGACGGCCACAAUCACUUUCUCCUACAUGCUGCAGUUUACCCCGGACUGCACUGCACUGAGUUGGCCGGUUGAACGCUGAUUGGCUGUUACGUUACACAAGUCACUCAGUGGCCACUGGCCACGCUGUUGAACGCCGAUUGGCUGUCAUCACGCGAAUGUCGCGUCAAAGUUUCAAUAUUUUUUAAAGAUUGAUAGAUUGCGGGGAACAUAGGACCCUUUUC
ensembl:lncRNA